AGUCUUAAAUAAAAGAAAAGAAAAAAAGAGGUGUAUCCGAGGCGUGGUUAUUGCUAGUUGAAAACUAUUCCCAAUACCCCGUGCAGACGCCCUUAACUGGGCGGCUAGCACAAUUUUUAAUUGCCUCUACGGGGG